rnacentral:rRNA from 1 species
GUGGGGAAUAUUGGACAAUGGGCGAAAGCCUGAUCCAGCCAUGCCGCGUGUGUGAAGAAGGUCUUCGGAUUGUAAAGCACUUUAAGUUGGGAGGAAGGGCAGUAAGUUAAUACCUUGCUGUUUUGACGUUACCGACAGAAUAAGCACCGGCUAACUUCGUGCCAGCAGCCGCGGUAAUACGAAGGGUGCAAGCGUUAAUCGGAAUUACUGGGCGUAAAGCGCGCGUAGGUGGUUUUGUAAGUUGGAGGUGAAAUCCCCGGGCUCAACCUGGGAACCGCCUCCAAAACUGCAUGACUAGAGUACGGUAGAGGGUAGUGGAAUUUCCUGUGUAGCGGUGAAAUGCGUAGAUAUAGGAAGGAACACCAGUGGCGAAGGCGACUACCUGGACUGAUACUGACACUGAGGUGCGAAAGCGUGGGGAGCAAACAGGAUUAGAAACCCUGGUAGUCC